AAGAGGCGGGAAACGAUUAAACCCUAGUACCCAACCCUUUGAGAAAUUAUACCUUGUUCUUUUCAUCUUUCUCUAGCAUUGGCUUUCCGAUUUCUAUCUAAAAAUGGGAAUUAAGGGUUUAAUGAAGCUGUUGGCUGACAAUGCUCCAAGUGGAAUGAAAGAGCAAAAAUUCGAGAGCUAUUUCGGCCGUAAAAUAGCCAUCGAUGCUAGUAUGAGCAUUUACCAGUUCCUGAUUGUGGUAGGACGAAGCGGUACGGAAAUGCUCACUAACGAAGCUGGGGAAACUACUAGUCAUUUGGUUGGGAUGUUUUCGCGGACAAUUAGGCUUUUGGAAGCUGGAAUCAAGCCAGUUUAUGUUUUCGAUGGGAAGCCCCCUGAUUUGAAGAAACAAGAACUUGCAAAACGUUACUCUAGAAGGGAAGAUGCCACAGAUGACUUGGCUAAGGCUACAGAGGCUGGCAACAAGGAGGAUAUUGAAAAAUUCAGCAAGAGAACAGUAAAGGUUACACCGCAACACAAUGAUGAUUGCAAAAAGCUUCUCAGACUGAUGGGGGUACCUGCUAUUGAGGCUCCUUCUGAAGCGGAGGCUCAGUGUGCUGCACUUUGCAAGGCAGAAAAGGUCUAUGCUGUGGCCUCAGAAGAUAUGGAUUCCUUAACUUUUGGAGCUCCAAAGUUUCUUCGCCAUUUAAUGGAUCCUAGCUCCAAAAAGAUACCAGUGAUGGAAUUUGAUAUCUCCAAGGUAUUAGAGGAGCUCGAACUUAGUAUGGAUCAGUUCAUAGACUUGUGCAUUCUUUGUGGAUGUGAUUACUGCGAUAGCAUCCGAGGCAUAGGGCCCCAGACUGCUUUGAAGCUUGUACGCCAACAUGGGUCAAUGGAGAGCAUAUUGGAGAAUAUUAACAAAGAAAGAUAUCAAAUACCUGAUGAUUGGCCUUAUGAAGAGGCUAGGCGGCUCUUCAAGGAACCAUUAGUUGUUACAGAUGAUGAGCACACUGAACUAAAAUGGGCUGCUCCGGAUGAAGAAGGGUUGGUUAACUUUCUGGUAAAGGAAAAUGGAUUCAACAUUGAUAGAGUUACGAAGGCAAUAGAAAAGAUCAAAACAGCUAAGAACAAGUCUUCUCAGGGGAGGUUAGAAUCAUUCUUUAAACCAGUUAGCACAUCUGCUCCAGUUAAAAGAAAGGAAACAGCUCAGACCGCUGAGAAAGGAGGUGCUAACAAGAAAUCAAAGGCUGGUGGUGGUAAGAAGAAAAAGUAGUUAGCAUCAAGUCAAAGCUUGCAGUAAUGUGAUGGUUUCGUACUUGGUAAGGAAGGACAGUCAGAGUGGUCUAGUCAUAUUGCUGCUUGCGGAGUCCUUGGUAGCUGGUGCCUCAAUUUUGUUUGUUCUUCUGGAAGAAAAUAUUCCGAUUAGUCGGGCCUCCUUUCAAAUGUCUCCUUCAUUUCCUUGUCCCGUAUUCUUCCCUGUUAAUGUAUAAAUCUAGAUUAUCCUGAGGUUACCAUCCUGUGUGAAUUGGCAUUUCUGUCAGUUGCAUGUACAAUUUAAUGCAUAAAUCAAUCCUAAUCUAGCCCUUUGGUGGUUGA